CGGCGGGAGGCGAGGUGGCACAGUGCGAGCAGCAGCACGGCCACCAGCGCCAGCACCUUGGCGCUCCUCACGCUGAAGUAGUGGUUGAUCUCCCGCUUGCCCAGGAGGUCAUGGGGAUAAAGAAGACUGGAAAAAGGACUGAAAAGGACCAGCCAGCACAAUAGGAGGAGCACAGUUUUGAGCUGAGAGAGUGUUGGUGCUCCGGCCGGGUGUCAGGCCUGAGCCUCUGAGGUAGGAGAGCCAAGUUAAGGACAAUGGACCACCAGAGACCUCCCGGCCCCACCUAAUAUCAAUCAGCAAGAGAUCUCCCAGAGAUCUCCGUCUCAAUGCUAAGACCCAGCUCCACUCAACAACCAGCAAGCUCCAGUGCUGGACACCCCAUGCCAAACAACUAGCAAGACAGGAACACAACCCACCCAUGAGCGGAGAGGCUACCUAAAAUCAUAAUAAGUUCACAGACACCCCAAAACACACCACCAGACACGGUAUUGCCCACCAGAAAGACAAGAUCCAGCCUCAUCCACCAGAACACAGGCACUAGUCCCCUCCACAACCCACUGAACCAACC